AGCUCCGAGCGCUCCGGGUG
rnacentral:misc_RNA from 1 species